GGUAAAAUGGCCGAGUAGGCAUUAGGCUGUAAAUCUAAGUACAGGGGUUUAAGUCCCCUUUUUACCA
rnacentral:tRNA from 4 species